AAAUUAAUAACAUUUUGUAUUUCCAAAGAUUGCUCAUUUAGAACAUUUUUAAUUUUAAAUCCCGUCCAGUCGGUCUUCAAAUUACACAAUGAAAAAUUUGAUAAUGUAAAAUUAGAAAUAUGAAAAGGGGGUUCAAUUUUUAAGAAUGAUGGGUACAAAGGCAGGUAAAUGAGGGGAAUGAUAACACAAUGUUUACCCGACGUUAAUUCUAAUAAAACUGUAGUUCCUCUAUUUCGUCGUCUUACUAUGAUG
rnacentral:lncRNA from 1 species